rnacentral:rRNA from 1 species
CAAAACUAAAAGAGUGGCCGGACCGGCGCACGGGUGAGUAACACGUAUCCAACCUGCCGAUAACUCGGGGAUAGCCUUUCGAAAGAAAGAUUAAUACCCGAUGGCAUAGUUCUUCCGCAUGGUAGAACUAUUAAAGAAUUUCGGUCAUCGAUGGGGAUGCGUUCCAUUAGGUUGUUGGCGGGGUAACGGCCCACCAAGCCUUCGAUGGAUAGGGGUUCUGAGAGGAAGGUCCCCCACAUUGGAACUGAGACACGGUCCAA